CUUCCGUAAGGGGAACCUGCGGAAGGAUCAUUACAGAAUGAAAAGUGCUUAACUGCAUUUUUUCUUACACAUGUGUUUUUCUUUUUUUGAAAACUUUGCUUUGGUAGGCCUUCUAUAUGGGGCCUGCCAGAGAUUAAACUCAACCAAAUUUUAUUUAAUGUCAACCGAUUAUUUAAUAGUCAAAACUUUCAACAACGGAUCUCUUGGUUCUCGCAUCGAUGAAGAACGCAGCGAAAUGCGAUAAGUAAUAUGAAUUGCAGAUAUUCGUGAAUCAUCGAAUCUUUGAACGCACAUUGCGCCCUUUGGUAUUCCAAAGGGCAUGCCUGUUUGAGCGUCAUUUCUCCCUCAAACCCUCGGGUUUGGUGUUGAGCGAUACGCUGGGUUUGCUUGAAAGAAAGGCGGAGUAUAAACUAAUGGAUAGGUUUUUUCCACUCAUUGGUACAAACUCCAAAACUUCUUCCAAAUUCGACCUCAAAUCAGGUAGGACUACCCGCUGAACUUAAGCAUAUCAAUAAGCCGGAGGAAAA
rnacentral:rRNA from 1 species